GAUGAACGCUAGCGAUAGGCCUAACACAUGCAAGUCGAGGGGCAUCACAAAGAGUAGCAAUACUUUUGGUGGCGACCGGCGGAUGGGUGAGUAACACGUAUGCAACCUACCUUCUACAUUGGGAUAACCCGUUGAAAGACGGACUAAUACCGAAUAAUACAGGGGCGCCACAUGGUGAUAUUUGUUAAAGUUUCGAGCAAUCGAUUCGGUAGAAGAUGGGCAUGCGUAUGAUUAGCUAGUUGGUGAGGUAACGGCUCACCAAGGCAACGAUCAUUAGGGGUUCUGAGAGGAAGGUCCCCCACACUGGUACUGAGACACGGACCAGACUCCUACGGGAGGCAGCAGUGAGGAAUAUUGGUCAAUGGGCGCGAGCCUGAACCAGCCAAGUCGCGUGAAGGAAGACUGUCCUAUGGAUUGUAAACUUCUUUUGUACAGGAAUAAAGUGUUCUACGUGUAGGAUUUUGCAUGUACUGUACGAAUAAGGAUCGGCUAACUCCGUGCCAGCAGCCGCAGUAACAC
rnacentral:rRNA from 1 species